AGGCAGCAGUAGGGAAUCUUCCACAAUGGGCGAAAGCCUGAUGGAGCAACGCCGCGUGGGUGAAGAAGGUCUUCGGAUCGUAAAACCCUGUUGUUAGAGAAGAAAGUGCGUGAGAGUAACUGUUCACGUUUCGACGGUAUCUAACCAGAAAGCCACGGCUAACUACGUGCC
rnacentral:rRNA from 1 species